GACGAACGCUGGCGGCGUGCCUAAUACAUGCCAGUAGAACGCUGAAGGAGGAGCUUGCUUCUCUGGAUGAGUUGCGAACGGGUGAGUAACGCGUAGGUAACCUGCCUGGUAGCGGGGGAUAACUAUUGGAAACGAUAGCUAAUACCGCAUAAGAGUAGAUGUUGCAUGACAUUUGCUUAAAAGGUGCAAUUGCAUCACUACCAGAUGGACCUGCGUUGUAUUAGCUAGUUGGUGGGGUAACGGCUUACCAAGGCGACGAUACAUAGCCGACCUGAGAGGGUGAUCGGCCACACUGGGACUGAGACACGGCCCAGACUCCUACGGGAGGCAGCAGUAGGGAAUCUUCGGCAAUGGGCGGAAGUCUGACCGAGCAACGCCGCGUGAGUGAAGAAGGUUGUCGGAUCGUAAAGCUCUGUUGUAAGAGAAGAACGAGUGUGAGAGUGGAAAGUUCACACUGUGACGGUAUCUUACCAGAAAGGGACGGCUAACUACGUG
rnacentral:rRNA from 1 species